rnacentral:tRNA from 2 species
AGCUCUGUGGUGAAAAAAGCAUGUUGGAUUGCAAAUCCAGAGACGCAGACUAAUACCUGCCGGGGCUU